rnacentral:sRNA from 1 species
AGGUUUAUUCUUCAGUCCAAGGAAGCAAUUCACAAUCAGCUGUUAGAGAAGCAGAAAAUAGCAGAAGAAAAAAUUAAAGAACUAGAACAGAAAAAGUCUUACCUGGAGCGAAGCGUUAAGGAAGCUGAGGACAACAUCCGGGAGAUGCUGAUGGCACGAAGGGCCCAGUAGGGAGCCUCUCUAGGAAGCUCUUCCUCCUGCCCCUCCCAUUCCUGGUGGGGGCAGAGGAGUCUCUGCAGGGAAACAGCUUCUCCUCUGCCCCAAUGGAUGCUUUAUUUGGAUGGCCUGGCAACAUCACAUUUUCUGCAUCACCCUGAGCCUCAUUUGCUUCCCAGCCCUGGAGUUUUUACCCGGCUUUGCCUGCCACCUCUGCCCAGGACACUCUUCCCUCUCGGGGUGUGUGAUGAACUCCCAGGAGAGGGAAGAUGGGAGCCAGGGCAAGAUAGGAAGCUCUGCCUGAGCUUUCCACUAGGCACGCCAGCCAGACCAGUAAAAAGCGUCUGUCCCACUCUGCUAAGCCUGGUUUUCUUGAGCAGAGGGAUGGAACAGAGGGUGAGAGAGGCAGUGGCUGUCUCCACCUCAGCUCCUGCUCCCUCUGCAUCAGAGCCCUUCCUUUCUUGGGGGAUGGGCCUUGCCCUCUUCUCUUUUCCCUUCCUGUACCUUUGACUAACCCUCAGCUUCCAGGCCUGCAUGUAGUAGACAGAAGAGGAAGAAAGAACAGACGUUCACAGCUGAAUCUCAGUGAACAGAAUAACAGUCCCUGGAUGGCAGUCUGCCUAAAGAUUCCUUUCCCUGCCU